UGUGAUGCCAGUAGUGUUUGUGCUAGGCGAAAAAAUAAGCCUAGGGAGAUAGCUAGCUAUCUUACGGCAAGCAAAAGGGCUAAGUCUUUGGAUAUGCCUGAAUAGCUUUGAAAGUGCCACAGUGACGUAGUUUCUAGGGAAAUCUAGAAAGUGGAACGCGGUAAACCCCUCAAGCUAGCAACCCAAACUUUGGUAGGGGCAUGGGAUAGUUGGAAUGAGAACAAUCUAUCCUGACUGCUUUGCAGUAGACAGAUGAUUAUCGAAAGAAACAAUUCCUAGUUGUUUCUGGAACAAAACAUGGC
rnacentral:RNase_P_RNA from 1 species